rnacentral:tRNA from 1 species
AGCCUCAUAGUCUAGCGGUCAAAAAAAAUAGAUUGAUUAUUUUGGUUUAUUUUUUGCUGAAAGGAUGCGGGACUCUGGAUCCCGGGACGGGAGUUCGAAUCUCCCUGAGGCUA